rnacentral:rRNA from 1 species
CUACGUAGGGUGCGAGCGUUUUCCGGAAUUACUGGGCGUAAAGAGCUCGUAGGUGGUUUGUCGCGUCGUCUGGGAAAUUCCGGGGCUUAACGCCGGGCGUGAAGGCGAUACGGGCAUAACUUGAGUACUGUAGGGGAGACUGAAAUUCCUGGUGUAGCGGGGAAAUGCGCAGAUAUCAGGAGGAACACCGGUGGCGAGGGGGGUUCUCUGGGCAGUAACUGACGCUGAGGAGCGAAAGCAUGGGUAGCGAACAGGAUUAUAUACCCUGGUAGUCCAUGCCGUAAACGGUGGGCGCUAGGUGUAGGGGUCUUCCACGACUUCUGUGCCGUAGCUAACGCAUUAAGCGCCCCGCCUGGGGAGUACGGCCGCAAGGCUAAAACUCAAAGGAAUUGACGGGG